rnacentral:rRNA from 1 species
UACAGAGGUGGCAAACGUUGUCCGGAUUUAUUGGGUGUAAAGGGCAUGUAGGUGGUUUUGUAAGUCAAAGGUGAAAUGGCCCGGCUCAACCAGGUCAUUGCCUUUGAAACUGCAGGACUUGAGUACGGAAGAGGAAAGCGGAAUUCCCAGUGUAGCGGUGAAAUGCGUAGAUAUUGGGAGGAACACCGGUGGCGAAGGCGGCUUUCUGGUCCGAAACUGACGCUGAGGCGCGAAAGCUAGGGGAGCACACAGG